rnacentral:rRNA from 1 species
UACGUAGGGUGCGAGCGUUGUCCGGAAUUAUUGGGCGUAAAGGGCUCGUAGGCGGUCUGUUACGUCGGGAGUGAAACUCAGGGCUCAACCCUGAGCCUGCUUCCGAUACGGGCAGACUAGAGGUAUGCAGGGGAGAAUGGAAUUCCUGGUGUAGCGGUGAAAUGCGCAGAUAUCAGGAGGAACACCGGCGGCGAAGGCGGGUCUCUGGGCCAUACUGACGCUGAGGAGCGAAAGCGUGGGGGAGCGAACAGGAUUAGAA